GGGGAUCGGACUCCACAUCGGGCUCGAGACUCAAAGGCACAGCUGUCCUUGAAGAGGAUUCUGUCAGCGCCUGGACUGAGCUUGAUUUAUGAGCUAUGCCGCUCACCAGAUGGGGGACGGAGAGAAUACGACGUGAUGGGUUCGUAUUUAAAGACUCCUUCCGAAGCGGGAAAGUUUUAGACCUUCAUCAGAACAGAGAUGGAGAGGCAGAACCACAGACCGACUCCUGAUAAACGGCCGUUCAGAGACGCCCCUCCGCCGUACACCGCCCCGGGCCCUGCAAGAGAAGAGAAGCAGAAGUGAACGGGGUGAAUGAGAGACAAAGGGCCUUUAUAGGUUGCUGUUGAGAGCUAGAAAGAGCGUGACCCUCAAAUUGAGUGAAGCUGGCUUGUUCUCAGGAAGAGCUGAGACAUAAUGUUCACCAGAAACUAGAGAUGGAUAUCGGAAGGAGACUUUUUCAAGAGGAAAUACAUCAACAGAGAAGCUUGUUGAGCUACAUAAAUAUUUUAAUGCAGCAAUUAAGCAACUUACUGGCUACUAACUGACUUUUGCAUAAUUAAAAUGAUAAAGUAUGUUUCUGGGAGAACAGAAAGAUUUGUUUAAUUGGAAACUUUAUUUAAAGCUUUCUUCUUUAUUAUUAGAAUCGGCAAAAGCAUUUUAGGAUCUCCUAAAGAAGAUUUAAGAACGUAAUGAGGUAUAAGAAACACAACGUCUGAACGGAUUUCACUACAUGAAAUACAAAUGCUGAUAAUUUCUGCAAUGAUUGCAGUGGCAGAACUGACAUACUCGCCUCGCUAAUUGGUUGUUUAUGCUCUGUGCAGUUCAUUUGGCUAUAGACAUACAGUACUGUUUGAAAACAAUUCAUCAUUAAGUAUGUAAGAGUAAUCAGGAGUUAACUGCUCCAGAAAACAAGUAAACCGCUGCGGUAAAUUACCAUCAGCAAAGAAACAGGCUUAAAUGAAUGAAAUAUUCAUAAUAUGUUUGUUUGCUAACCAGCAGCAGUUUCCUGUUGCAGACUGCAGCGUAACUCUCAACCUUCCUUGUUCUUUACAAGCGCUCGCUUUCCCUGGAAUCACCCGGAACAACGGAAGCGAUUAAAAAGAUCACCUCCUGACGACCAAAACUGACUAAUGUGGUUUGUUGGUCAGCUAAAGCUGGUUUUGUUUGAUAGUUUUCAGCAGGUCUGCCUGGAAAAAAACAGCUAAAACAUCCAACAAAAGUACAGAAAGCCACCUUGGGCUGGUUUAAAUAGUUUGUUUUUCCAACAGUAGGGAAACAUCUCUUUUUGGGUGAACCAUACAAAAACCAAGAAUAUGUCCAGGUCAUAUUUCACCACCAAGAUUGAGUAUAAAUAACCUUUUUUGCACUAACAAUUUACCUACAAAUUGUUAAUAUCAUAAUUCUUCUACUGUGAUAUGAAAUAAUAAUAAUGAUAUUUAAGUGUUAGUACAUCAUGGUAGUAUUUGUUAUACUGUAUUGAAUUCUUGCUCUUUUAAAGGGGUCAUGAACUGCAUUGUUUUAUUGUUUUAUAAUG